CGUAGCCGGGCUGCUAUACAUGCAAGUCGAGCGGACAGAAGGGAGCUUGCUCCCGGAUGUUAGCGGCGGACGGGUGAGUAACACGUGGGUAACCUGCCUGUAAGACUGGGAUAACUCCGGGAAACCGGAGCUAAUACCGGAUAGUUCCUUGAACCGCAUGGUUCAAGGAUGAAAGACGGUUUCGGCUGUCACUUACAGAUGGACCCGCGGCGCAUUAGCUAGUUGGUGAGGUAACGGCUCACCAAGGCGACGAUGCGUAGCCGACCUGAGAGGGUGAUCGGCCACACUGGGACUGAGACACGGCCCAGACUCCUACGGGAGGCAGCAGUAGGGAAUCUUCCGCAAUGGACGAAAGUCUGACGGAGCAACGCCGCGUGAGUGAUGAAGGUUUUCGGAUCGUAAAGCUCUGUUGUUAGGGAAGAACAAGUGCAAGAGUAACUGCUUGCACCUUGACGGUACCUAACCAGAAAGCCACGGCUAACUACGUGCCAGCAGCCGCGGUAAUACGUAGGUGGCAAGCGUUGUCCGGAAUUAUUGGGCGUAAAGGGCUCGCAGGCGGUUUCUUAAGUCUGAUGUGAAAGCCCCCGGCUCAACCGGGGAGGGUCAUUGGAAACUGGGAAACUUGAGUGCAGAAGAGGAGAGUGGAAUUCCACGUGUAGCGGUGAAAUGCGUAGAGAUGUGGAGGAACACCAGUGGCGAAGGCGACUCUCUGGUCUGUAACUGACGCUGAGGAGCGAAAGCGUGGGGAGCGAACAGGAUUAGAUACCCUGGUAGUCCACGCCGUAAACGAUGAGUGCUAAGUGUUAGGGGGUUUCCGCCCCUUAGUGCUGCAGCUAACGCAUUAAGCACUCCGCCUGGGGGAGUACGGUCGCAAGACUGAAAACUCAAAGGAAUUGACGGGGGGCCCGCACAAGCGGUGGGAGCAUGUGGGUUUAAUUCCGAAGCAACGGCGAGAAACCUUACCAGGGCCUUGACAUCCUUCUGAACACCCCUAAGAGAUA
rnacentral:rRNA from 2 species